rnacentral:lncRNA from 1 species
UGGGACCGCAGGGAGGAUGGCGCCUCCGGCUCCAGGCUAGCGUUCCGCGAGCGCACGCAUUUCACAUGCAUUUGAGAAAUAUCCAUUUAUGAUGGCGCAGAGGAUAAGGCAGCCCCCCAACUGUCUGGGUGCAAAGAUGGGGUCCCAGGCCUCUUCCAGUUGCGCUGGCUCCAAGUUGGGAGGACUCAUGCAACAGGAGACUGGACCACGUGAUGGAGAACUCCAUUCCCAGCCUAGGUGCUGGCAGGAGCCCCGUGUUCAGCUGGAUGAAUCUCCCUCCAGCACCAGGCAUCAGUAAGGCCUCUAUGCCCUGGAUCCUUACCUUCACAGUGACUGUCUUCUUGUUCUUGCUGAUAUGGAUCUCCUCUCAUGGAAGAACUUU